CAGCAGCGUGAGAACAGACUAAUACACCAUGGGAUAACUGAUACUGGCAUAUCUGUGUGGGAAACCCCAGGACCUGAGAACUUUCUGGCCAUUUCUAAAAUCUCCAGAUGGCUGCACCUGUCACCUCUUCUGUAAAAGCUGCUUGAACAGAAUCCUUCAAAAUACCAAACAGGACAGCAGGGACAUCACCAUAGAAAGAAUUGGGCUGGAAUGAUAGGCCAGGUAAAAAUAAGAGAAUCAAAGCAUUCACAACUCUUGUGAGAAAGGCUGCUGCUGACACAAAUUUAAAAUACAGUUUAUAACAAUGCCAACAAAGUGGAACGCAUUGGAAAACUUUAAGGGGUUUAAAAUUUCAAGUAAGAAGUAUGAGGUUUGUAAAUUCAGAGGAAAUUAAUGCACUUAGGAAAGGGAUGAAGAUAACAAGGAGGAGCAGCAUUAAGUUCUCUGUUUUCCAUAAAAGGGAGUCAAAAGUCAUUGUUUAAUCUUUCAUUGUUAGACAAAUAUAAGUUUAAGACUGUUUCAAAAACAUGAUGUCUGCCUUCUAAAUCAUUACAGAUUUUUUAAAAGAAGAAAUAUGUGGACAGAAAAUAUGUGACUGAAACACCAGGAGUUUGAUGUUGGUCUUGUUGCUCACUGCACAGAAAGCCAGUCACUGAGACAAUGAAUACUGCAGGGAAGAAGGAAGGCUUCAUGCAGGUGCGCAGCUGAGGAGCGUUCACGGUGACCCAGGAACUUUGUGCUCAGCCGUCUGGGGCAAUUCUGUCCACCUCCAAUCCAUCUGUCAAAGCCCUGAGUCCCAGGACUUCAGAAAGUGACUGUGUUUGGAGACAGGGACUCCAUAGGGGAGAUUAAUACAAAGUGAGGUCACAUGGGUGACCCUAAUCCAAUCUGACACGUGUCCUUAUAGGAAGAGGAGAUGAAGACACAGAUAUGCACAGAGGGGCAGCCCUGUGAGGACACGCGGAGAAGACGGCGUGUGCGAGCCAGGGAGACAGAAACCAACGGUGACAACCCCUGAUCUCAGACUGCCAGCCUCCAGAGCUGGGGGAAAGUACGUUUCUGCUAUUGAAGCCCCCAGUCUGUGGUGCCGGGUUACGCGCCAGUACCCACACGCCAGCCGAGACAGCAAUAGCGAGACACUCCAGACAGGCGAAGGGCGUGCGGCCUUCCCACCGCCCACCUGAAAACACUGCCUAAAGAUGAGCCCAGUCCACAAAGCCUGCAUGAAAUGACGCGUUCAACAGCAGGAAAGACCUGGGUGGCAUAAAAAGAAAAAGAGUCAGGGAGACCAAGUCAGGCGAGGGGAGAAUGAGACUGGAAAUGGUUUGGCUGUGUCCCCACACAAAUCUCAUCUUUAAUUGCAGCUCCCAUAAUUCCCAUGUGUUGUGGGAGGGACCCAGUGGGAGAUAAUUGAACCGUGGGGGCGGUUUGCCCAUAGCGUUCUCAUGGUAGUGAAUAAGUCUCCUGAGAUCUGAUGGUUUUAAAAGGGGAAACUCCUCUCGCUUGACUCUCAUUCUGUUUUGUCUGCCGCCACGUAAGACGUGCCUUUCGCCUUUCACCAUGAUUGUGAGGCUUCCCCAGCCACGUGGAACUGUGUGUCUGUUAAACCUCUUUCUCUUCAUAAAUUACUCAGUCUUGCGUAUGUCAUUAUCAGCAGUGUGAAAACGGACUAAUACAAGACUCUUCAAAGGACGCCGAGCCCAGCACCUCCCCAAAGCCUGAGGAACUGGAGCGACAUGAGGGCUUGGUUCAAUCUUCCUGACCGUUGAGUUCUGACCCCACCUCCCGGGGGGCAGGGAGAUGUGGAGUGAGGAGGUAUUCACUGAACAUUUCUGGACAAGUGGAGGCCGCAGUGGGCACUUGGGCAGACAGCAGUCUGUGACGUGCAGGCUGCCCAGGAGGCUGGAGCUGGGUGCAGGGCCCAAUAGCAGUCAGCCCCUGCAGCCAACAAGCACCUGUGAAAUCUC